rnacentral:lncRNA from 1 species
CUUAAAGGAGGUAAGUGAUUGACAUGUAUCAUUACUAACUUGAGUGGUUUUUCUUUUUUUGUCUUUCAGCCUAAAGAAAAAUAAGUGAGACAAUUCAUUUCCAGGACUAUACAGAUGCAGUUAUUUGGACCCAACCCUGGAACAGAAUAUUUUAAAAAUCUUUUGGAAAGCUUAAAAAAGAGGGAAUGAGAUUAGGUUCUCCAAACACUAUUUAAUGUAAAGGGAUCAAUAACCCUAACAGAUGAGUCCAACUCUCUGCUGUUAUCCCAGCCCUACAGUUUAUUCUACCACAGAGAGAUGUAGACCAGAGCAAUAUAGGAGGAAUUUGACAUCCUGCAAUCAGUCGGUGUAAUUUGGGAGAGGAUGUCUUUUAACUGACAUAUCAAGGACAGAGGUCAGUGAGAUACUAAACAUCUAUAAUGCAUGAGCAGCUUCCUUUCUGGAAAUGAUCCUGACGAAGCAGCGUCACUUCUGAUGCUGAGAGAACCCGCUGGAAGGAGGAUCACAGGAUUGUAACAGGAAAGACAGGAGAUCUUAUGUGGUACUGGCAGUGUUCAUCUUCUUCAAUCUAAUUGUUGUUACAGGGAUAUUUGCUCUAUAACCCUAUGUAUGUGUGAGUGUGUGCUUAAUUCACUUUUGUGUAUGUAUAUU